rnacentral:rRNA from 1 species
UACGAAGGGGGGCUAGCGUUGUUCGGAAUCACUGGGCGUAAAGCGCACGCAGGCGGAUUGAUAAGUCAGGGGUGAAAUCCCGGGGCUCAACCCCGGAACUGCCUUUGAUACUGAUAGUCUCGAGUCCGGAAGAGGUGAGUGGAAUUCCGAGUGUAGAGGUGAAAUUCGUAGAUAUUCGGAAGAACACCAGUGGCGAAGGCGGCUCACUGGCCCGUUACCGACGCUCAGGCGCGACAGCGUGGGGAGCAAACAGG